GCCGCCGUCGAGGAUGUCCAGGUAGUCUCUUCUUCUGUCACGCCGCCUGUGAUCUGGACGAACGAAGCCGUUGAUUGGUUAGCGCAUCAUCAGAUGAUGAUGCUGUCUCUGUAUUUCUUCUUGCUCCAUGAAUUAAUCCUGAUGAAUGCUGCUUGUUUUGCACAAGCUGACAAGGACACUAGCUAGAGCGCACUGCCGCUCCUCAUCUUGCAUGCAACAUAAUCUGAAAUUCAUUCAAUUCCACUGUGCGUAAACACUAUAGUGUACAGCUAUCAACUUGUUUCACUAUUCAGUUUGUCACCCAUUCAGCUUACUUACUGGGGCAUCUUUCUUGUAAGAGUUUACUUAAAAUAGAUUGUAGUUUCUUUCUUGUUUGUUUUGAUACCCAUAUACCUGUCCUGUAUUAGCUCUUUCCUUUUGUGCACGUUAAUUCAGCGUUUGUGUUGAUUUGAUGCCAAUGUUUAGAAAUAAGAUUUUUGAUGGAUGGGUUUAUGUGUUCUGCUGGUAUAUAUGCACGCUAGUAUAUAUGCACACGGAUUGGCCUUCAUUACUUUGUAUCUACUGUUAGAUAUAUGCUGUUAGAUUUGCUUUCAUUUUGUACCUAACCAUUUUGUUCUAUAACGUGCAGAUGCUGGCGUUUCAUGUUUCGUCGCGAGCAUCAAGACGAAGAAGUCGGAAGAAGCAUAGUUCAAGCUCAUCGGAGCUAGUUCAAGGAGUAAUGAAGCCCUUGAUGCUGAUCCGUAUUGGAACAAAUUGAAGCACGAACUGUGACAUAUAGAGCUUGUUAUACUGUAGAGCUUGAUGCUCAUCGGCUCAUGUGACAUAUUGUACACCUGUAGAGCUUGUUAUACUAUGAUCGCAUUUGUAUGUGUUGAUGUAACAGAUUGUUGCUUCUU
rnacentral:lncRNA from 1 species